GCACAUAAUGUAUGCCAAGACAAAUGAUACCAGUGAUCCCUUUGGUAUUAAGUGUGGUCUAUCAGGUCGCAGCAGCGCCAACCUUGUUUUCGGGGAUGCAUACAAUCUGUAUGUUACACCAGUAACCCAGAUUCCAGGUCAAGCUCCUGUACUAAGAUGGUUUUCUGCAAAUGUAGUGGCAGAAGUGUCUCAUUCUGCAAGACUAGAGUGUGUUUUCAGUGGGUAUGACCCAUUACAGCCAUUACCAACAAUUACAUGGAGCUUAGAGGAUGGCACAGUAAUAAGCACUAACCAAAAGUACAAUGUAUCAUCAAAUGGAAGAUGUCUCAUAAUCUACAAGUUAUCAGAACAAGACGAAAUAACUUAUAGCUGCCAGGCGAGAAAUACCAUAGGAGAAAGUGAGACACAUCCAGUUUUUCUUAACAUCACCAGUAAGUG